rnacentral:rRNA from 1 species
GACGAACGCUGGCGGCGUGCUUAACACAUGCAAGUCGAACGGAAAGGCCCUGCUUUUGUGGGGUACUCGAGUGGCGAACGGGUGAGUACCACGUGAGUAACCUGCCCUUGACUUUGGGAUAACUUCAGGAAACUGGGGCUAAUACCGGAUAGGAGCUCCUGCUGCAUGGUGGGGGUUGGAAAGUUUCGGCGGUUGGGGAUGGACUCGCGGCUUAUCAGCUUGUUGGUGGGGUAGUGGCUUACCAAGGCUUUGACGGGUAGCCGGCCUGAGAGGGUGACCGGCCACAUUGGGACUGAGAUACGGCCCAGACUCCUACGGGAGGCAGCAGUGGGGAAUAUUGCACAAUGGGCGGAAGCCUGAUGCAGCAACGCCGCGUGCGGGAUGACGGCCUUCGGGUUGUAAACCGCUUUCGCCUGUGACGAAGCGUGAGUGACGGUAAUGGGUAAAGAAGCACCGGCUAACUACGUG